rnacentral:rRNA from 1 species
UACGUAGGGUGCAAGCGUUGUCCGGAAUUAUUGGGCGUAAAGAGCUCGUAGGCGGUUUGUCGCGUCGAAUGUGAAAACCCGGGGCUUAACCCUGGGUUUGCAGUGGAUACGGGCAGACUAGAGGCAGGUAGGGGAGAAUGGAAUUCCCGGUGUAGCGGUGAAAUGCGCAGAUAUCGGGAGGAACACCGGUGGCGAAGGCGGUUCUCUGGGCCUGACCUGACGCUGAGGAGCGAAAGCGUGGGGAGCGAACAGG